AGCAACAAACAUUUCCACCACAACAGCCAUAUCCGCAGCCGCAACCAUUUCCAGCGCAACAACCAUAUCCGCAGCCGCAACUAUUUCCACAGCCGCAACCUUUUCCGCCACAACUUCCAUAUCCGAAGCCGCAACCAUUUCCCCCACAACAACCAUAUCCACAACCGCAAACACAGCAUCUGCAACCACAACAACCAAUUUCGCAGCAACAAGCACAACAACAACAACAACAACAACAACAAAUCCUUCAACAAAUCCUUCAACAAAUUCUGCAACAACAACAACUGAUUCC
rnacentral:lncRNA from 1 species